rnacentral:rRNA from 1 species
GGGCCCGCACAAGCGGUGGAGCAUGUGGUUUAAUUCGAUGAUACGCGAGGAACCUUACCAGGGCUUAAAUGUAGGACGACAGUUUGGGAAACCAAUCUUUCUUCGGACGGCCUACAAGGUGCUGCAUGGUUGUCGUCAGCUCGUGCCGUGAGGUGUCGGGUUAAGUCCCAUAACGAGCGCAACCCCUAUCCUUAGUUGCCAGCGGAUAAUGCCGGGGACUCUAAGGAAACUGCCGGUGCAAACCGUGAGGAAGGUGGGGAUGACGUCAAAUCAUCACGGCCCUUACGUCCUGGGCCACACACGUGCUACAAUGGCAAGUACAAAGGGCAGCUACCUGGUGACAGGAUGCG